CCUGAGUUCAAUUCUAGCG
rnacentral:misc_RNA from 1 species